UACAGAGGGUGCAAACGUUGCUCGGAAUUAUUGGGCGUAAAGCGCGUGUAGGCGGCUUGUUAAGUUGGUCGUGAAAGCCCACAGCUCAACUGUGGAAGUGCAACCAAAACUGGCAAGCUAGAGUUCUAAAGAGGAUGGCGGAAUUCCCAGUGUAGAGGUGAAAUUCGUAGAUAUUGGGAGGAACAUCGGUGGCGAAGGCGGCCAUCUGGGAAGCGACUGACGCUGAGACGCGAAAGCGUGGGUAGCAAACAGG
rnacentral:rRNA from 1 species